AGUGACCAGAGUGUUAAGACCUUUUGUUAUUCUAGCCAAGUUAACCCCAAAAACAUUGCUGAGAACAGAGAACAUUUAAAAAUGCUGUUAGGCAUGAGAGCAUGAGUUAAGUGGGGAGCAGCACAGAAGUUGGGACUCAGCCAGCAUGAAUGAGAGCUAGCAAAUUCUGCAACAGAGAACUGGUCUGAUUAAACCAGAGCAAGAACAAGUCACAUCCAAAAGAAAUUCCUUUAAAAGGCAAAAAUUAACCACCCUGGAAAAACAACGAGAGAGGAAUUGUGGAUGAAAGAAGACUGCUCUCUCACCAAUUUUCCAUUGCCAUUCUCCAUACUGGAGCAUCGCUUUGUUCAGCAGGCAUGUUGCCUUCCCUAUCUCUGUCUUCUAGAGGCAUCGCCACAGUUUGUUGCUAUUUACCUCAGCUACUCAACCUCUGUAGGUACCCCUCCCUUCAUUUCAGGGAGGUAGGACUUGGAGAUCUACAUCUUUUGGCCUCAAAGUUGUUAUUUGUAGCUGUCAGUUAGAUAACAGAAACGGAAAUCUAUAUAACCAAUGCUCUCCCCCUUCCCAGACCCAUCACUGUCACUCACUUCUUUUGACUUUUAUUCAACUUAAUCACUAGUUAUUUUAUUUCUCCUAUCUUAUAUAAGAAUCCUGUGUAGCCAUGUUAUGGCUGCAUCGCAAACAUGCUCUCCAGCCCCUCCAUAACCUUACAAUAAUCCCAGCAAAUAAAAUCCUGAUAACUCCAGGAAUUACUCUGAUUUCUGCCCUCCUAAACCAUCCUUACGCACAUCGUACUGCAGACAAGGGAUGUUGUAACUUGCAACAACAGCUAGACAUGGAACCAGCCUGAAACCCUGGGAAGUUGCUCUUUUGUCCUGCCCAGAGCCGCUAAUGCAUGUGCACUGACUCCUAUCUCUGCCUUGCAGCACUACCAUUUCUUUGCAUGUCUGUCAGAUUCCUUCCAUGUUGCUUUUCCUUUGCUGUGCAAUGUAGCAAGAUGCCAGCUUUCUAUUUUUUGCCCUGUGUGCACUCUGGAUCUAACCUUCCGCUUGAGAUGCUAUCAAGUAUCCAAAUGUGACACAUUUUCAAGGUUGGCCUCAAGGUAGCUAACCAGGGGAGUGAGCUUUUCAAUCACAAUCAGAUACCAAUCAAACAAAAAUAGAUGAGGGCUGACAGUGGGCUUGCAUGAUUAUACUGCUAUUUCCAGCUGCUUCAGGUCAGGAUGUUUUUAUCAACCAAGUCUCCAGCUCAUAUCACCAGUAUGCAAGGGAGGCAGGAGGGGAAGCAAUCAUACAAAAGUGGAAUAUUUUGUGAUUUAUAGCUGAAGGAAAAGAAAGACCAUAGUUAUCCUGACUUAUUAGAUGUAAUUGUGCCCCUAGCAUCAUUGUAAGGCAAAGCAAAUCCCAAAGAUAAAAUCAACCUGGGGGAGGAGUGGGGCCCAACAGCUGUGAGGGCACCAUUUCAAGAAGUGGCUUUCCUUUCUCCUCUUGCACAAACAUGACAUCAAAAUUAUUGUAAAUCUGCAGCUACCCGAACAGCACUCAUUGUGUUCUCGUGCUUAGCACGAAGUUCACUAUUGACUUCAAAGGAAUAGAAAGAUACAGAGAAAUUUUACCUUUAAUUUGCUGUGCUGAUAUAGAUCAGGGAGAUUUGUAGGCUUUGAUCUUCCCUUAUUUAAU